ACAAGCAUAAAGUUCCGUGAUUAAAACACUAAAAUUUUUGAGUAAAAGUUCAUACUUAUUUUUUAAUAGCUAAGUAUUUUUCUUUAAAAUUUUGCAAGACUUUAUGACCACUAUUGUCCAAGAAAGUACGGCCCGACUAGCAUUGUGAACCACUGAUGAAUAACAUUUUGAAUUUAAAACUUUUUUGGUUACUGUAUUAUAAGUCAAAAUUUAUUUUAAUCACUGCAUUUUUAAUUUAGUCAAUUUGAUUGCUGUGCUGUUAAAAGUUAACAAUUUUAGUCACAUCCUUUAGUAUGCAGUUUAUGUAUUAAAAUAUCCAUUAAUUGAAUAAAAUUUACAAAAAAAUAAUUUACAAAAAACUUAAAAUUCCUUUUAUAAAUAGAAAUAUUGAAGAAGAAAAAAAGAAGAAUUAAGAGAUUGGGGGCAUGCGGGCAAACUUACAGAGGAUAGAGUGGAAAGCAUUUUGGCUCACCGACAUGUAAUCAAAGCAAAUCCAUUGAGUUCCAAAAAGAGGUGUGCUAUCCACACACCCCAUUUUACUUCAUACACACACCUUGAUAAUUUCUGUCCGUUGAUCUUUUUCAAUUCAUCCGAUCCGACGGCCGAAAAUUAAAAAUGUGUAUGAGAAGUAAAAUGGGGUGUAGAUAUCACACCCCUAAAAAAAGGAGGCCUUUAUAUUGAAACCCAAUAUAACCAAAUUAAAGCUCAUUUGGAAAUUUUUGAAAAUGACUGAAAACACUUUUAAAAAAAAAAAAUUUUUAGGUUUCUAAAACACUUGAAAUGCUUUGAGCAAGAAGUCUCAAUUAUGUGCUUCUUAUAGGAAACACUUUUAAGUGUUUUUAUCAAAAACCCUUUUAGCUAUUUUAUGAACAUUUACAAACGAGCCGUGAGUAUAAGAUAUUUGAUUAGAAUAGACAUAUAUAAACCUAACAAGCAAGUAAAGUGCAAGCGCAGUAGAAAUGUUGGGGGAGGAGUGGUAGGACCACCACUCUUUUGUCUAAUGGAUUUUUCAGGAAGAAUCUGGUAAAGUGGCAAAAGGUAUAUCCAAUUGAGAGAAGGAAUAGUGAGACUCCAAUUUGGAAGUACCAUUUUUUCUAAGGAAAACUAAUGAAAAAGACUUAAAAACUUUGAGUUUUAAUGAUAAGGACAAAAUA
rnacentral:lncRNA from 1 species